GGAGGGACGCAGGAGGCUAAGGAAUGCACACGAUCGGAAAUGUGUGUCCAAGCAGCAAGUCUGAGAACGAGUGAAAUGCUUUUUCUCUCAAGGACAAGCUGCGAUGGGGAGCGAAAUUUAGUAGCGAAGUUCCUGAUGUCACACUGCCAAGAAAAGCUUCUAGUGAGAAAGUAACUGCCCGUACCGCAAACCGACACAGGUAGUUGAGGAGAGAAUCCUAAGGUGUGCGAGAGAACUCUCGUUAAGGAACUCGGCAAAAUGACCCCGUAACUUCGGGAGAAGGGGUGCUGACCGCAAGGUCAGCCGCAGUGAAUAGGCCCAAGCGACUGUUUAUCAAAAACACAGGUCUCUGCAAAAUCGAAAGAUGACGUAUAGGGGCUGACGCCUGCCCGGUGCUGGAAGGUUAAGAGGAGAGGUUAGCGCAAGCGAAGCUUUGAAUUGAAGCCCCAGAAAACGGCGGCCGUAACUAUAACGGUCCUAAGGUAGCGAAAUUCCUUGUCGGGUAAGUUCCGACCCGCACGAAAGGCGUAACGAUUUGGGCACUGUCUCAACGAGAGACUCGGUGAAAUUAUAGUACCAGUGAAGAUGCUGGUUACCCGCGACAGGACGGAAAGACCCCAAGGAGCUUUACUGCAGUUUGAUAUUGAGUGUUUGUAUCACAUGUACAGGAUAGGUAGGAGCCGAAGAUACCGGGACGCCAGUCUCGGAGGAGGCAACGGUGGGAUACUACCCUUGUGAUAUGACCACUCUAACCCGCUGCUCUUAGCGAGCAGGGAGACAGUGUCAGACGGGCAGUUUGACUGGGGCGGUCGCCUCCAAAAAUGUAACGGAGGCGCCCAAAGGUUCCCUCAGAAUGGUUGGAAAUCAUUCGUAGAGUGUAAAGGCAGAAGGGAGCUUGACUGCGAGACCUACAAGUCGAGCAGGGACGAAAGUCGGGCUUAGUGAUCCGGUGGUUCCGCAUGGAAGGGCCAUCGCUCAACGGAUAAAAGCUACCCUGGGGAUAACAGGCUUAUCUCCCCCAAGAGUUCACAUCGGCGGGGAGGUUUGGCACCUCGAUGUCGGCUCAUCGCAUCCUGGGGCUGUAGUCGGUCCCAAGGGUUGGGCUGUUCGCCCAUUAAAGCGGUACGCGAGCUGGGUUCAGAACGUCGUGAGACAGUUCGGUCCCUAUCCGUCGCGGGCGUUGGAAAUUUGAGAGGAGCUGUCCUUAGUACGAGAGGACCGGGAUGGACACACCGCUGGUGUACCAGUUGUUCUGCCAAGAGCAUCGCUGGGUAGCUAUGUGUGGACGGGAUAAACGCUGAAAGCAUCUAAGCGUGAAGCCCCCCUCAAGAUGAGAUUUCCCAUCACUUUAAGUGAGUAAGACCCCUGAGAGAUGAUCAGGUAGAUAGGUUGGGAGUGGAAGUACAGCGAUGUAUGGAGCGGACCAAUACUAAUCGGUCGAGGACUUAAUC
rnacentral:rRNA from 1 species